GUCGGCAUAGUAUAGUGGUGAGUACAGCUCGUUGUGGCCGAGCAGACCCAUGUUCGAUUCAUGGUGCCGACA
rfam:Pyronema omphalodes CBS 100304, CBS100304, WGS project CATG01000000 data, contig: Pcon_v1_contig1637